rnacentral:tRNA from 4 species
GGCAAUUUGUCCGAGUGGUUAAGGAGUUUGACUUGAAAUCAAAUGCGGUUUCCGCGCGUAGGUUCGAGUCCUGCAAUUGUCG